AGUGAACGCUGGCGGUAGGCCUAACACAUGCAAGUCGAACGGCAGCACAGGAGAGCUUGCUCUCUGGGUGGCGAGUGGCGGACGGGUGAGGAAUACAUCGGAAUCUACUCUGUCGUGGGGGAUAACGUAGGGAAAUUUACGCUAAUACCGCAUACGACCUACGGGUGAAAGCAGGGGACCUUCGGGCCUUGCGCGAUUGAAUGAGCCGAUGCCGGAUUAGCUAGUUGGCGGGGUAAAGGCCCACCAAGGCGACGAUCCGUAGCUGGUCUGAGAGGAUGAUCAGCCACACUGGAACUGGGACACGGUCCAGCCUCCUCCGGGAGGCAGCAGUGGGGAAUAUUGGACAAUGGGCGCAAGCCUGAUCCAGCCAUACCGCGUGGGUGAAGAAGGCCUUCGGGUUGUAAAGCCCUUUUGUUGGGAAAGAAAUCCAGCUGGCUAAUACCCGGUUGGGAUGACGGUACCCAAAGAAUAAGCAUCGGCUAACUUCGUGCCAGCCGCCGCCGUAA
rnacentral:rRNA from 1 species